GACGAUCUGCGCUUCGCGGCAGGGGUAACACUUCCCCGGGGCCUUAAUGAUCCCUAGGGAGCUGUCACUGGGGAGACCCGUGGGUCUCUUCACACGGCGCCCACCUACUUUGUAGGCACCCGGGAUCAACUUCUCCACCGGUCUGUGUGGAUCGUCA
rnacentral:other from 1 species